GAUAAACGCUGGCGGCGUGCCUAAUACAUGCAAGUCGAGCGAACAGACGAGGAGCUUGCUCCUCUGAUGUUAGCGGCGGACGGGUGAGUAACACGUGGAUAACCUACCUAUAAGACUGGGAUAACUUCGGGAAACCGGAGCUAAUACCGGAUAACAUGUUGAACCGCAUGGUUCAACAGUGAAAGACGGUCUUGCUGUCACUUAUAGAUGGAUCCGCGCCGCAUUAGCUAGUUGGUAAGGUAACGGCAUACCAAGGCAACGAUGCGUAGCCGACCUGAGAGGGUGAUCGGCCACACUGGAACUGAGACACGGUCCAGACUCCUACGGGAGGCAGCAGUAGGGAAUCUUCCGCAAUGGGCGAAAGCCUGACGGAGCAACGCCGCGUGAGUGAAGAAGGUCUUCGGAUCGUAAAACUCUGUUAUUAGGGAAGAACAAAUGUGUAAGUAACUAUGCACGUCUUGACGGUACCUAAUCAGAAAGCCACGGCUAACUACGUG
rnacentral:rRNA from 1 species